UAGCAUAUCAAUAGGGGAGGAAAAGAAACCAACAGGGAUUUGCCCCAGUAACGGCGAGUGAAGCGGCAACAGCUCAAAUUUGAAAUCUGGCCCCCCCCCGGGGCCCGAGUUGUAAUUUGUAGAGGAAGCUUUGGGCGCGGCACCCACCGAGUCCCCUGGAACGGGGCGCCAUAGAGGGUGAGAGCCCCGUAGGGUGGGAUGCCCAGCCCCUGUAAAGCUCCUUCGACGAGUCGAGUAGUUUGGGAAUGCUGCUCAAAAUGGGAGGUAAAUUUCUUCUAAAGCUAAAUACUGGCCAGAGACCGAUAGCGCACAAGUAGAGUGAUCGAAAGAUGAAAAGCACUUUGAAAAGAGGGUUAAACAGCACGUGAAAUUGUUGAAAGGGAAGCGCUUGUGACCAGACUUGCGCCCGGCUGAUCAGUCCGGUGUUCUUCACCGGUGCACUCUGCCGGGCCCAGGCCAGCAUCGGUUCUCGCGGGGGGAGAAAGGCCCGGGGAACGUAGCUCCUCCGGGAGUGUUAUAGCCCCUGGCGGCAUGCCCUCGCGGGGACCGAGGUUCGCGCAUUCGCAAGGAUGCUGGCGUAAUGGUCAUCAGCGACCCGUCUUGAAACACGGACCAAGGAGUCAAGGUUUUGCGCGAGUGUUUGGGUGUCAAACCCGCACGCGUAAUGAAAGUGAACGUAGGUGAGAGCUUCGGCGCAUCAUCGACCGAUCCUGAUGUAUUCGGAUGGAUUUGAGUAGGAGCGUUAAGCCUUGGACCCGAAAGAUGGUGAACUAUGCUUGGAUAGGGUGAAGCCAGAGGAAACUCUGGUGGAGGCUCGCAGCGGUUCUGACGUGCAAAUCGAUCGUCAAUCUGAGGGUGGGGGGGAAAGACAAAUCGAACCAUCUUGUAGCUGGUUACCGCCAA
rnacentral:rRNA from 1 species